UAAGGAAUAUUGGUCAAUGGACGCAAGUCUGAACCAGCCAUGCCGCGUGAAGGAUGAAGGUCCUCUGGAUUGUAAACUUCUUUUAUAUGGGACGAAACCCGGGAAUUCUUUCCCGAUUGACGGUACCAUAAGAAUAAGCACCGGCUAACUCCGUGCCAGCAGCCGCGGUAAUACGGAGGGUGCAAGCGUUAUCCGGAUUCACUGGGUUUAAAGGGUGCGUAGGAGGGUAGGUAAGUCAGUGGUGAAAUCUUCGAGCUUAACUCGGAAACUGCCGUUGAUACUAUCUAUCUUGAAUACCGUGGAGGUGAGCGGAAUAUGUCAUGUAGCGGUGAAAUGCUUAGAUAUGACAUAGAACACCAAUUGCGAAGGCAGCUCGCUACACGAAUAUUGACUCUGAGGCACGAAAGCGUGGGGAUCAAACA
rnacentral:rRNA from 1 species